CUUCAAAAUCUGAAGAUCUUGCACAGAAAGAUCCACAUUUUGCUUGUCUGGAAAAACAGAAAUAUCUGUCCACAUUAUGUCCUUAGAACAACAAUCAGCUGAGGCUGAGUAGAAGCUACUUCCUUGAGACAUGUGAAACUGAACCAGUCAACCAAAUUUGCAAACCCUGAAUAAAUCCAACCAAUUCAUUUCACUUAUGAAGAAAACAAAGUUCUGAGAAAACCGUUUGGCCUGUCCCCAUUUAAUGACAAUAUCAAAAUCAGAAGCCAGAUAUUCUGAAUUUCAGUCAGUGAUCUUCAAUGAGAACUGUUGCUUUUUCCCUAAAGAACCCGAAAUACAGGGAUAUUACGUGCUUGUAGGCACUAUGAGGAGGAAAAACAAAACUGAAAACUAGGUCUUCUGUCCCUGCACUCACUAUGUUCUAUCUCCUUACUGGGCCAGAAAUUCUUAUGCAAAUUAAUAGGGAGGUAAGACUAGCCAGGAACUCAAAGCCCAAACUUUCCA
rnacentral:lncRNA from 10 species